GCUGGGCUUGGUAACGCAAGUCUGUAACCCGAGUGGGAGCAUUAAGAUAGUGGGAACAAUUGGGCAUGCCUUGAAGGCUGGGCUGGGGGUGCUAUCUUCUGGCCUGCCCGUUCCAAGUGGUGAGUUGUGCUGUGGAAUCUCUGCGAAGGCGGAGGCUCCUCGGCCUUUAGAUCGGAGGGCACCGCGUGAGGCUGGCUUCACAGAGCAGCGAAAACCUCCUCCUUUCUGCAGUGGAAGGAUAACAGGGCCGGUGCAGUCCUUGGUCCAUUAGCGCCUGAUGGGCCUCCCAAAUUGAACCACCAUCUUU
rnacentral:SRP_RNA from 1 species